YKUCUUGAUAUAGAUAGGAAAUUAAAUCUGCCCACUGAUGAUUUUAAGGGCCGCGGUAUAUUGACUGUGCAAAGGUAGCAUAAUCACUAGUCUUUUGAUUGGGGACUGGAAUGAAUGAUUAGACAAGAUAUAAACUGUCUUGAAUUAAAAGAUUGAAUUUAACAUUUUUGUUAAAAGGCAAAAUUGUAUUUAAGGGACGAGAAGACCCUAUAGAAUUUUAAUGAAUUUAAUUGUUAGGAGAAUUGGUUUAAUAAUUAAAGAUAAUUAAAUUAUAUUGGUUGGGGUGACAAAUGAAUAAGAGGAACUUCAUAUAAAUUGAAUUGAUUGGGAAGGGUAAUAGAUUUUAUUAUAGGAAUUAUAAGAUAAAAUUACCUUAGGGAUAACAGCGUAAUUUCAUUUGAGAGUUCAAAUCGAUAAUGAAGAUUGCGACCUCGAUGUUGAAUUAAGAAUAUAAUGGAUGUAGAA
rnacentral:rRNA from 1 species